rnacentral:misc_RNA from 1 species
UUUGAUGCCGGAAACCACGCCUCCAGGUCAUACUUUUUCGCUGCAGCAUCGUUCAAUGCACCCGAAACAAUGCUCACUAUUUGAUAGGGGAGGUUCAGCUCUUUGUAGAAGUCCUCGGAGUUCUUAAUCAUUUCCUCAAGCAUCUCCCAUGAAUCAUUAUCAUUCGGACUGGUGAUACAGAACUGUUCUACUUUCUCAAACUGAUGCACUCUGAAGAUACCCAGUGUGUCUCGGCCAUGUGCGCCGGCUUCCUUCCGAAAGCAAGUAGAAUAUCCGGCAUACCGUAUUGGCAAGUCUGAAGGAUAGAGUCGAUCAUUUAUGUGAUACGCACAUAGAGGUUGUUCUGCAGUG